rnacentral:rRNA from 1 species
CCCUUAGAUGUUCUGGGCCGCACGCGCGCUACACUGACGAAUGCAACGAGCUUAUAACCUUGGCCGAAAGGUCUGGGUAAUCUCCAAAUUUCGUCGUGAUGGGGAUAGAUUAUUGCAAUUAUUAAUCUUCAACGAGGAAUGCCUAGUAAGCGCAAGUCAUCAGCUUGCGUUGAUUACGUCCCUGCCCUUUGUACACACCGCCCGUCGCUCCUACCGAUUGAAUGGUCCGGUGAAACGCUCGGACCGCGGCCUCUUGACGGUUUUCCGUCGAUUGGCUGUGGGAAGUUCGUUAAACCUUAUCAUUUAGAGGAAGGAGAAGUCGUAACA